rnacentral:rRNA from 1 species
GAUGAACGCUAGCUAUAGGCUUAACACAUGCAAGUCGAGGGGAAACGGCAUUAUGUGCUUGCACAUUUUGGACGUCGACCGGCGCACGGGUGAGUAUCGCGUAUCCAACCUGCCCUUUACUUGGGGAUACCCCGCUGAAAGACGGCCUAAUACCCGAUGUAAUUCAUUGAUGGCAUCAGAUAUGAAUAAAAGAUUUAUCGGUAAAGGAUGGGGAUGCGUCUGAUUAGCUUGUUGGUGAGGUAAAGGCUCACCAAGGCGACGAUCAGUAGGGGUUCUGAGAGGAAGGUCCCCCACAUUGGAACUGAGACACGGUCCAAACUCCUACGGGAGGCAGCAGUGAGGAAUAUUGGUCAAUGGACGGAAGUCUGAACCAGCCAAGUAGCGUGCAGGAAGACGGCCCUAUGGGUUGUAAACUGCUUUUAUACGAGAAUAAUUUGAUGCACGUGUGCGUUAUUGCAUGUAUCGUAUGAAUAAGGACCGGCUAAUUCCGUGCCAGCAGCCGCGGUAAUACGGAAGGUCCAGGCGUUAUCCGGAUUUAUUGGGUUUAAAGGGAGUGUAGGCGGUUUGUUAAGCGUGUUGUGAAAUUUAGGUGCUCAACAUUUAACUUGCAGCGCGAACUGUCAGACUUGAGUACACGCAACGUAUGCGGAAUUCAUGGUGUAGCGGUGAAAUGCUUAGAUAUCAUGAAGAACUCCGAUUGCGAAGGCAGCAUACGGGAGUGUAACUGACGCUUAAGCUCGAAGGUGCGGGUAUCGAACAGG